rnacentral:rRNA from 1 species
AAAGUAAGGGCGUAUGGGGAAUGCCUAGGCUCUCAGAGGCGAAGAAGGACGUGAUAAGCUGCGAAAAGCUACGGGGAUCGGCACACACGAUAUGAUCCGUAGAUAUCCGAAUGGGGCAACCCGUUAUAUUGAAGAUAUAACAUCCCGCAAGGGAGGCAAACCCGGGGAACUGAAACAUCUAAGUACCCUUAGGAAAAGAAAUCAACCGAGAUUCCCCUAGUAGCGGCGAGCGAACGGGGAGCAGCCCUUAAGCUGUUUAGAAUUUAGUGGAAUCCUUUGGGAAGAGGAGCGAUACAAGGUGAUAGCCCUGUACACGACGGAUUCUUUACAGUGAAAUCGAGUAGGUCGGGACACGUGUUAUCUUGACUGAAUAUGGGGGGACCAUCCUCCAAGGCUAAAUACUCCUAACUGACCGAUAGUGAACCAGUACCGUGAGGGAAAGGUGAAAAGAACCCCUGUUAGGGGAGUGAAAUAGAACCUGAAACCGUGUACGUACAAGCAGUCGGAGCCCUCUUUGUGGGGUGACGGCGUACCUUUUGUAUAAUGGGUCAGCGACUUAUAUUUAGUAGCAAGGUUAAGUGAAUAACGGAGCCGUAGCGAAAGCGAGUGUUAACUGCGCGUUUAGUUGCUAGGUAUAGACCCGAAACCCGGUGAUCUAGCCAUGAGCAGGUUGAAGGUUGAGUAACAUCAACUGGAGGACCGAACCCACUAACUUUGAAAAGUUAGGGGAUGACUUGUGGCUGGGGGUGAAAGGCCAAUCAAACCGGGAGAUAGCUGGUUCUCCCCGAAAUCUAUUUAGGUAGAGCCUCGGACGAAUUCCAUUGGGGGUAGAGCACUGUUAAGGCUAGGGGGUCAUCCCGACUUACCAACCCUUUGCAAACUCCGAAUACCAAUGAGAACUAUCCGGGAGACACACGGCGGGUGCUAACGUCCGUCGUGGAGAGGGAAACAACCCAGACCGCCAGCUAAGGUCCCAAAAUAUUGCUAAGUGGUAAACGAUGUGGGAAGGCAUAGACAGCUAGGAGGUUGGCUUAGAAGCAGCCACCCUUUAAAGAAAGCGUAAUAGCUCACUAGUCGAGUCGGCCUGCGCGGAAGAUGUAACGGGGCUCAAACUGGUCACCGAAGCUGCGGCUGCAUACAUUGUAUGCGGGGUAGGGGAGCGUUCUGUAAGCCUGCGAAGGUGUGUUGAGAAGCAUGCUGGAGGUAUCAGAAGUGCGAAUGCUGACAUGAGUAACGACAAUGCGGGUGAAAAACCCGCACGCCGAAAACCCAAGGGUUCCUGCGCAACGCU